UCCGUGGUUUAGAGGUAACAUACUUGCCUCGAAACUUCGAGGUCCCGGGUUCGAGUCCCGGUCGAGGAA
rnacentral:tRNA from 1 species